rnacentral:misc_RNA from 1 species
AUGCUUUAGCGGGUGUGUUGCGGCCCUCGAGGCCCCGUGCAUUCGCUGCACGGGAACAAGCUCCGGGAGGUGUAGGGUUCCCACGUGGGGGCCCUUUCACGCGCAUAUGACUGAAUCCUUACUUUACUCGUACCUCUCGUUCUCCUUCGGCGGGGCAGCCUGCCGUUGGAACAGCCAAAACUUCUUUUUUUUGUCAUCCAGCAUUACCUGUUCUGAUACAAACAAUCGUUA